UACGUAGGGGGCGAGCGUUGUCCGGAUUCAUUGGGCGUAAAGCGCGCGUAGGCGGCUCGACAAGUCGGCCGUGAAAUCUCCAGGCUCAACUUGGAGGGGUCGGGCGAGACUGUCGGGCUCGAGGUGGGCAGAGGGCAGUGGAAUUCCGGGUGUAGUGGUGGAAUGCGUAGAGAUCCGGAGGAACACCAGUGGCGAAGGCGGCUGCCUGGGCCUGGCCUGACGCUGAGGCGCGAAAGCGUGGGGAGCGAACAGG
rnacentral:rRNA from 1 species